CGUUUCAGCCAAUCACGUAAGCGUAGUUUCGAGGGGAUGAUUUCUCACGUAGCGUUACAUCUGCGCAGUCCUACUAGUCACUCUGCAAUUAUGAGUUAGAACCAAACGGCUUCCCUGCUGGAGGUCAACCCCCGAGUGAAAACAUAACAUGUUUAGCUUUUCGUUGCUGCUUCCCUCACCAUUCAGACACCAACCUGUUCAUGCCAGGAAGGUUACCCCAGAAGUAGCGGGCGCGGUGGGCAGCAGACACUUCCUUGGCAUCGAUCAUCACUGGGUUGCACUGAAAUCCAAGUAAAGCAGAGAAGAAAAGACACCAGGAACCAAGCAAAAAAAAUCAAACUCACAUGUUUGCGUGUGACAUUCCUCACAUCACCAACAUACAUGAUGCGACCCUGAUGCCGGACGAUACCC